CUGUCGUGAGUCAUCUCUUCUCCUAUAACGUUCUUUAACGAGUGCAAAAAAGAAAAAAGAAAAAAACAUGUGUUAGAUUCCGGGUGAAUUUGAUUGCGAGUAAGAUCUCCUGUUCAUAGUUUGUUGUGUCAUUAUAUUUAUUAUUAUAUAAUAAACUCUAAUUAAUUAUUACUAAAAAAAAUAUAUUCCCUACUUUUUAAUUAGUUAACUCUAAUAAUUAAUUAGUAAUUCAAAACUUAAAUAAAUAUAAAAUAAUUGUAAAUCCUAAAUUAUGAAUCUUAGUUAAUAUCUUAUAAUUAUACAAAAUAUAAUACUCUUUCCGUUCAAAAAAAUAGUCUAUUUUUAUCAUUUUGGGACAUCCACAAAAACUAGUUCAUUUUUAUUUUUGGACAAUACCUUACAACUUAUUAUUUUCAACACACCUACUUGUUUACCCUUUGUACCACAUGCUUAUCCACUCAUAAUACAAUUAAUUAUUAAUAUUAACAGUGUUUGUGUGCUAGCCAAGCGGUAAGGGGUUAACGCCCGAGGCCAAAGGUCUUGAGCUCGAGUCCCUUGUGGCGCGACCUUUAAAUUUCUUUAUCUAAAUACUGUUAAUUUAUCAAUGUUAACAUUAUCAUUUAAGUGAUAUUAUUUCUUCACUCACAAUAUACUCAAUUAUUUUUAUUAAAAUAUGUGUCAUUUCCUUCUAAGAUUACAUACAUUUAAUUAUUUUUAUUAAACUCGUGCCGUCUCUCUUUUAAGACUAUUUUUUAUGAAUGGAGGGAAUAACUUAGAAUUAAAACACUAAAUAAAACUAUAACAAAAUGAAAUUUGAAUACAUAAUAAGACAUUAAAAAUGGGACAUAUAAAAUUCGACGUGGGGUUGCCUCAAGUUUACAAAUUGCAAAGUGCUGAAACUCGCGUAGUACGGAAAAUAAAGUGUAAAUUUAAAUACAUCGAAAUAUGUGACCAUAUGUGCCAAUAAUUUGCUAAGUGGUAUUAAAUAAUUAGGUGAAAUGAUGUGGAAUGAUAUUGAUAUUGCAACCACUUAUAAAAUGUGGGUAGAAGUAAAAAUGAAUAAAUGAUCUUUGAUCUGGUUGGCUUUUUCUCGGAGGGCAGAAUAUGCUCGCUAAUGUAUAUUUGAUUUUUCCAACUUGUUGAGUGCACAAAUAAUAAAGUUCACUCAAAAGUUAAAACAUAGGGAAUCAAAAUUAGUUGGACGAGACCUAUAACUCAAUAGCCAUAUAGGGUAAGAAGGGGUUGGCCUACCACCUUUGUCACCUUCUCUUUCAAGUUCAUGCAUCAAAUUUGCUAUCGGAAACCAUGGACCACCACUCCUCCAUACCAGCCGCUCCUGUUCCCUUACCUUUGUGUAAAAGUAACACUGUCCCUCUCACUCUCUACACUCACACACAAUGUGGUAAAACAACAAAAGAAAAGAAUGCAAGUAAUAAUAACAUCAGCGGCUUUGUUGUACUUUGUGAUGCACCUAAGUGGG
rnacentral:lncRNA from 1 species